rnacentral:rRNA from 1 species
AGAGUUCAUGUGUAUGUGAAACCGCCCAGAGGUAAACGAGAGGAUCCGCAAAGUCGGCCUGCGGAAUUCAGCGCGGCGUGCGACCUGGGGCUGUUGCAGUUCGGGAUCUCUCGGGACCCGACCGUGGCGUCUCGCUGGGCCUCACUGCGUGCACUUUCCGCAGGCAGAGCACCACGACCGCCUUCGGGGCGGCUAGAUGCCGGGGGUGGGAAGGUGAGCAGGCGUCUUGUGCACUUGCUGUUAUUACCUGCCUCGGUGAGCCGUUCUGGGGGCAAGGGACGAYCGCGCGUCUUGAGGCCACCUGGCCCUCCGRGGGAGUUCGUCUUACGGGKACCGGGCAACCCCCGUGCCCGUCGACCGCUCCUCUGUGACUACAUUGGGCUGGCCAGGCAUGCAUUAGGGUCAGUGGCGAGUCUGUUGGCAUUCCACCCGACCCGUCUUGAAACAYGGACCAAGUAGUCUAACAUGCGCGCGAUUCAUUGGGCGGUACGAAACCCAAAGGCGCAGUGAAAGCGAGGGCGGCU